rfam:Oryza sativa (indica cultivar-group) chromosome 1, whole genome shotgun sequence.
AAUGUAUGACGCCGUUGAGUUUUUGUCCAACGUUUGACCAUUCGUCUUAUUCAAGAAAUUUAUGUAAUUAUCAUUUAUUUUAUCGUGACUUAAUUCAUCAUCAAAUAUUCUUUAAGCAUGACAUAAAUAUUAUGAUAAUUACAUAAAAUUUUUAAAUAAGACGAAUGGUCAAACGUUGGUCAAAAAAUCAACGGUGUCAUAUAUU